AUUGAACGCUGGCGGCAGGCCUAACACAUGCAAGUCGAACGAGUGGCGGACGGGUGAGUAAUGCCUAGAAAUCUGCCUGGUAGUGGGGGAUAACGUCCGGACACGGGCGCUAAUACCGCAUACUAUCAGAUGAGCCUAGGUCGGAUUAGCUAGUUGGUGGGGUAAAGGCUCACCAAGGCGACGAUCCCUAGCUGGUCUGAGAGGAUGACCAGCCACACGGGAACUGAGACACGGGCCAGACUCCUACGGGAGGCAGCAGUGGGGAAUAUUGCACAAUGGGCGCAAGCCUGAUGCAGCCAUGCCGCGUGUAUGAAGAAGGCCUUCGGGUUGUAAAGUACUUUCAGCGGGGAGGCGUUACCCGCAGAAGAAGCACCGGCUAACUCCGUGCCAGCAGCCGCGGUAAUAC
rnacentral:rRNA from 1 species